UUUGUUUUGGUUGUCUUGAGUGGAAGGGUUUGGAAACAUCUCGGUUGCAGAGAGCAAGGAGCAUCCACAUGCAGCAUUGAGGUUUGGCUUUACUGAGAAUGAAAAGUAAAAAUCCUUUCAGCUGUAGUGGUUCCUGUUCUAACCUGCUGGCUACCUUGAGACAUGCAGCAGGAAUGCUAGGCGUGCUUCCAGAUAGGCUGAAACAGUUUCUCUUACCUUUGUCUGGUAAAGCUUUUAAAUGAAGUCAGUUCCUUAGGAGCAUGUUGAUGUUCUAGGCAAUAAGCCAGGAUGCUCAGAGGAACAGAUUGUUCUUACCUGCUCAGUGCUGCUGCGUUGAGAAAGUAGCUGAGGUUUUGGUCAUGUGUGCAGGGAUUAUCAUCUGCCCCUUACCAGUUUUGGCUGGUGUGGCCAUUCAGGGAUCAAAGGACUGCAGUUUUAAGGUUGCUUCUAUGAAAACAGCUGAUAUUCCCAGGAUGUUCUAAUGCUGUCUCAGUUUGAGCAGCUCCUGCAAUGAGCCGGUCUGUAGGAAGCAGAGUGCAAGUUGGAGGAGUCUCUUGCACCAGCAGGUGGCACAGGCAGCAAGAGCUUGGCCGUAAGUGUGUGGAACUGGCAAAAACUUGUGUAUUUAUUCUAAUGUACAGGGUUUUGCGUGUUCUGCCAAGAUUAAACCUAAAAAUGGUUUGAAGGCUUCCUCUAGGUGGUGCUUAGUGUCUUUGCUUUAUCUAUAGUAAAGAGCAUUUUUAUAAUACAACUGUAACCCGUGCGAAAACCCCAUUAAAUAUCCAGGUAAGACUGGCCUUCAGACAUGGCUGUGGGAACUGAAAGGAUAAUGUAACCAAGGUGCAAAUGCCAACUGAUUUACUGGAGUAGCCUCUGUUUACAUGUGCUUUGACUGACAAAACAACCACUGUGCGCUUACUGACAAGUGAUCUUUAUGCUAGCUUGAAGGUUAUUCUUCUGACACAGUAUACUUGGAGGUAAGUGUUAAAUAUGUUCAUGAAUGUGAAGUUUGCAGUCCAGUGCUUUGGAUGAUCCCUUUUCCAGCAUUGCAUUGUGAUGGUUUUUCAAGUUUAAGUACUCUAAUCAAAGUCAUGCUGGAGGAAAAAUCACAAUUAAGAAGAGGCUUGUAUUCGUGCCUUGGAGGAGAUGUUGUUGACCUUUGCAAAAGCCCGAUGGCGUUCUGUCUGGGGGUAACUGGUAAGAUGUGGGCAACUGGUGAUGUGUUAGACAGACUACUUCCAUUAAAGUAGGUGAUAGUAUACCUCAGAGUUUCCUCUAGCCUGACUUUGUAAAAAAUCAUAGAAAUUAAACUGUUACUUGAAUAUAGAAAUACAUUGAGAAGCAGAUCCAGGGAAGGAAAAAUGGGUACAGCAUGGAGACAUCUGAAAGAUGUACCCAGGUCUCAAACUGGUGUGAAAUGGAGCUUCUCAGACUUGGUAAAUUGGUUGCCUAAAAGAGACAUUUUCACAACCCUAUGCUAUGGACUGUUGCAGCACAGCCAUGCUUAGUGUGGUAGUGAAAACCUCACCUUGCACUCACAGGAAGAGUUGCAGUGUACGUGCAGAUGCCGGGAGGACAAAGAGCCUGCUAGGACUUCCACAAGACUGGGCUGACUUCUGUAGACUUACUAGUUCUUGGCAUGGCAGGGACAGCUACCAAAACCACAGGUGUGCUCAGCAGACUUUAUAGUGAAGGAUGGCAGGAAUAUCAGCCGAAAUCAGCUCUGAAUUUCCCAGGGGAAUUCUGGUUUAGCAUUUUCCAAUAAUCUCCCUAUGUCUGGGAUUUGUUCUUCCCCAGCUGCUUCAGCUCUGCUUGCAGUAGGGGGGGGGGGCUGCAUUGGACGGGCCCUUCAUUCAUGAUCGAGCAGCUGCCAGCCUCGGAUUUUGUCGGUUGAUGCUUUUGUUUCUGGUCUUCCUUGAAGUACUCGGGAAAGCUAGGAAGGAACAAACCAUUAUGAUCUUUGACUAAAGACAGCCUCUUCCACCCUACUGCUUCCCCAUCUGUUGUGUUUCAUCUCUCAUUCUCCUAACGUGCCCUGAACUAGCCUCACAGUCUGUAACAGAAGAGAACUCUUGCAGGGCCAGAUAAAUGCAGUGCAGCCCUCAAAGCCUCUGCAGUGGCACAGCAGCUAGCUGUGUGGCUGAGCAGCUACCACUCUGGGAAGGCUGAGCUUGAGGUCAGGCUUGGAAGGAUUAAAGCUGCUUUGACUGUCCUAAUUCUGAGCUGUGUGGGGGAUGGUUUGGCUGCCCGCUGCAGCACAGGGCCCGAAUGCUGGCACCGAUUGAUUCGAGACUGCAACCAAAAUAAUAAUGUGUAAUUACAGUCACAUUAUUUAAUUACAAUGAUUUCUUAAUUAUGUGUAUAUAUUUGUGAUAUUACCUAGGCAGUUUGACUGGGUGUAUUUGCUUCCAUGGGAAUAAUUAGACUCUCCACUUCCAGAGGAAAUUAUUUGUUAUAGUUCAACUCUUCUCUUUACUUGAGCGUAUUUUCUCUCUUUUUGUACUGUAGCACCACUGAGUUCCACAUUAACAAGUGUGAAAGUGAAUUUACUGUCUUAAGUCGUUCUCACUGUGACUGUAAAUGUGUGUCUGUUACAGAAGCAUUCAGGUUUGUGCGAGCUGUUCCAUUUUAGGGCUGGUUGACGUUUGAAGCUGUUCCGGUUUAAGCUUGGGUGUUGACAUGUGAUUCUGGAACAAGGAGCUUCCUUCCUACAGACCUAAUCCCUUGUUGGAAUGGAACCAGGUAGUUUUAUUCUGGAGUGAGAGCGACAGCCUGUGGAAUUUCUCAGGAGUAGAUCCACAGAUGGAUAAACCUAUGUUUUCUACUUUGUCAAAGGUCCCUCGGGAGGAAGGGCUAUGUAGGUAUUUUUGGUUCUGUGGCAUGGUGGUGUCAGUGGUAACUGCACUCUCGCAUGACAGUAAGUAACUUGGUCCUUUGGUUUCUCUGUGCUCGGUGGUUAUAGCUUCUUUGUCAUUUCGUCUUCUCAGACCCUUUCACUAGUGAAUGCUUUGAAAAAUAAGAGGAAUGCAGUAGCCACCAUCCAGGCUCCCCUACCCUCACUAGUGUGCCUUGUCACUCAAGUGAGAAGUUGGAAGCAGUUACAGCUUUGCUUCCUUACAUCAAGAGAAGGCAGGGAGAAUCUGACCCUAACCCAAGUGAACAGCAGUGCUUUGGUGGUGGAGAACUGAGCUGUAACUGCCGGCUUUUCACGUAAGCUUGCAGUCUGCAACGAAAUGAAAGCAUUUCUGCUUAUCUGAUCCAUCUGUGCGGCAGUGUAAGCUGCUUCCCUUGAUGUCCAAGUUUGUUCUGCUCUUACCAAAGCUCCCAGCAGUUCACAGUGCACCACUGAAUGGGAUAUGUAGCAGGGAGGCUGAGAAGCAGGAAUGAUGCUCCAAAGACACAGGCUCCUGUUACUGACUGCCUGAAAGUGUUUUCUAUGGUAAAGGUUUUCUUGGGCGCAGAGGGCUAGGGAGUAGAAGUGCACAUGGGUGGAGGAGAGCUUGCACCUAGAAGUGCUGAUGGCUGAGGCCUUAUUUUCACUGCAGAUCAAGACCUUUGAUUUUCAAUAGGAAACAACUCAUAUUAACUGGAAGGAAAACAAAAGUUUCUGGCUGAGUGCCUUGAGUCCAGGAGAAAAAAAAGUGAGGUCCAGAUCUCAAAUUCUGUAUUUCUUCUAUAAAUAUCCUGUUUGCAGAUACACUGAUAUGUGCGUUUAUCUUUUUUGCAGACUCACUGUAUUUGUUGUUUCUUAAUGGAGCCAAUGGUUUCCCACUGCAAAACUCUUCUUGCUUUUCCAGCAUCACUUGAUUUUUCUUCCUCUUCUGUCUUGUCAUUAACCAACCAAAGCCUGCUUACCAAAAGACUCUAAUGCUACAAAGGAAGGAUGGGCCCUUGCUGCAGAGCUGGGAUCUACCACAGAACACUAAUGGCCUGGUGAGUUGAUGCUCUGGGGCUGAACCCUGAUAGCCUGCAGGAAAGUAUCAUUGCUUCAUAGGGAGAUGGUCAGAGGAGGCCUGGUUUGCCCCAUUGCUUUUGUACGCUGUUCCAUAUAGAAGAGGUCAUGCUGGUUGUCUCAUGUGCUGAGAAGCAUGGACAUGUUCUUCGAAGCCAUAAGAUCUCAGCCUUGCAGCAUUGCUGUUGCAUUCAUCCUUUUGCCUUUGAGAAGACAGUGUUGUGGUCCCCCAUCUGGUAUUUCUUCCAAGGGCUACUUUGAUGCAAAGGGAGGCAAAUUCACCCUUGCAAAUGCUGACUGCCAGCCCCUGAGGGCCCACACGGAGCUGUGGAGAACCUGCAUGGCUAAGGGAGACCUGCAGCCAGAGCUGAGCAAAGUCCAGGUGAAGAAUCACAUCUUGCCUAGCACAGAGCUCGAAGCUGGGCAGCAAAGUGCUCAAACAGUAAGUGCUCCCUGAUGCUUCAGUGGCCGGGUAUCACUUGUCUUCUCCAAACCCGGUGUGCCAUGUGUCAUCCCCACUUGAGGCUUCCUUGGGUGGCAGAAAUGCAGCAGAGCAUCUCUCUGCUGGUGUGUGGUGCUCCAGGGCUCAAGCAUGGGCUGAUAUCAUGGAUCCUGAGCCAUCGACAGGGCAUGAAAAUACACCUGCCCUUAAUCUAAGCAAUGUCUUGAUGUCUGUGGCAUCAUCAGGCAAGGGCUUGUGAGACCUUUGUGAUGGAGAGCGUGGCUCAAGCUAACCCCAUGUGGGGCAGAGGUGCUGUUGCAGGAGGGGACAGGCAGGUCUCUCCCGAACGUGGCUCAUGUGAGCAACUGCAUUACACCAAGCUUCCUGUAGAAAGAGACCGUUAAGACUAGCAUGAAUAAACCACAUUGCUAUGGCAGCAGACGACACGGCUCAUGUGCACCCACAGCAUUUUCUAGGUGGGAAAACUGAAGCUUAUUGAGGUUUUUCUUACUGAACAAUUUCUGAACUUCUGACACCGCUUUGUGUAGCAUCUUUUCCCCUCAGAAGCUAAAAGUAGCUCUGUGGGGUUGUACAGGGCCAUCCUGCUCUCCUCCCACAGGGACAGAGGCCUGAAAGGACGGUGAUGGGCUUGCGCUGGAGCUGGCCUUCAGUGAUAGGAAUUCACCGUGUCUGGGGGGCAGAUGAGCUGCUGCACUGUUCAGGGAUGUGUGUUGUCCCUUUGUGAGCCACUGUUUUGCUUUUCUCCCCAGCGCAAGAAGGAGGUUGAAAUCAUUCUGAAAAGGCACCUGAAAUGUUCUACAGGUGAUUGAGAGGGGUCAGUGUCCAAGUGCUGCCACGUGUUGGUCUGUGUUAGUGUGUACUGGGGAUGCAGGAAGUUACAGACAGGAGAGUUGGCCAAGAAUUACAUUUAAUUGUUUUUUUUUAAGGAUUUUUUAAUCAUAUACAAAAGGAAAUUAAAAAAAAAACACCCACUUUUUCAUUGCUGUGAAUGAAUGACAAUGUGCUUCAUGGUUUCCAUGAAUUAUCCGUCCUGACCCAGCAACAUACUCAGGUACAGACACACCGGCUCAGACUCCUGUGGAGAUGAGGAGGUACAGUUUGGUUUUAUUAUAUAAAAGGGUUUUUUU